rnacentral:rRNA from 1 species
GCUUAACGCGAAGAACCUUACCAAGGCUUGACAUAUACGAGAACGCUGCAGAAAUGCAGAACUCUUUGGACACUCGUAUACAGGUGGUGCAUGGUUGUCGUCAGCUCGUGUCGUGAGAUGUUGGGUUAAGUCCCGCAACGAGCGCAACCCUCGUUCUAUGUUGCCAGCACGUAAUGGUGGGAACUCAUAGGAGACUGCCGGGGUCAACUCGGAGGAAGGUGGGGAUGACGUCAAAUCAUCAUGCCCCUUAUGUCUUGGGCUUCACGCAUGCUACAAUGGCCGGUACAAAGGGCUGCAAUACCGCAAGGUGGAGCGAAUCCCAAAAAGCCGGUCUCAGUUCGGAUUGAGGUCUGCAACUCGACCUCAUGAAGUCGGAGUCGCCAGUAAUCGUGGAUCAGCAACGCCACGGUGAAUACGUUCCCGGGUCUUGUACACACCG